rnacentral:rRNA from 1 species
GAUAAACGCUGGCGGCGUGCCUAAUACAUGCAAGUCGAGCGAACGGACGAGAAGCUUGCUUCUCUGAUGUUAGCGGCGGACGGGUGAGUAACACGUGGAUAACCUACCUAUAAGACUGGGAUAACUUCGGGAAACCGGAGCUAAUACCGGAUAAUAUUUUGAACCGCAUGGUUCAAAAGUGAAAGACGGUCUUGCUGUCACUUAUAGAUGGAUCCGCGCUGCAUUAGCUAGUUGGUAAGGUAACGGCUUACCAAGGCAACGAUGCAUAGCCGACCUGAGAGGGUGAUCGGCCACACUGGAACUGAGACACGGUCCAGACUCCUACGGGAGGCAGCAGUAGGGAAUCUUCCGCAAUGGGCGAAAGCCUGACGGAGCAACGCCGCGUGAGUGAUGAAGGUCUUCGGAUCGUAAAACUCUGUUAUUAGGGAAGAACAUAUGUGUAAGUAACUGUGCACAUCUUGACGGUACCUAAUCAGAAAGCCACGGCUAACUACGUGCCAGCAGCCGCGGUAAUACGUAGGUGGCAAGCGUUAUCCGGAAUUAUUGGGCGUAAAGCGCGCGUAGGCGGUUUUUUAAGUCUGAUGUGAAAGCCCACGGCUCAACCGUGGAGGGUCAUUGGAAACUGGAAAACUUGAGUGCAGAAGAGGAAAGUGGAAUUCCAUGUGUAGCGGUGAAAUGCGCAGAGAUAUGGAGGAACACCAGUGGCGAAGGCGACUUUCUGGUCUGUAACUGACGCUGAUGUGCGAAAGCGUGGGGAUCAAACAGGAUUAGAUACCCUGGUAGUCCACGCCGUAAACGAUGAGUGCUAAGUGUUAGGGGGUUUCCGCCCCUUAGUGCUGCAGCUACCGCAUUAAGCACUCCGCCUGGGGAGUACGACCGCAAGGUUGAAACUCAAAGGAAUUGACGGGGACCCGCACAAGCGGUGGAGCAUGUGGUUUAAUUCGAAGCAACGCGAAGAACCUUACCAAAUCUUGACAUCCUUUGACAACUCUAGAGAUAGAGCCUUCCCCUUCGGGGGACAAAGUGACAGGUGGUGCAUGGUUGUCGUCAGCUCGUGUCGUGAGAUGUUGGGUUAAGUCCCGCAACGAGCGCAACCCUUAAGCUUAGUUGCCAUCAUUAAGUUGGGCACUCUAAGUUGACUGCCGGUGACAAACCGGAGGAAGGUGAGGAUGACGUCAAAUCAUCAUGCCCCUUAUGAUUUGGGCUACACACGUGCUACAAUGGACAAUACAAAGGGCAGCGAAACCGCGAGGUCAAGCAAAUCCCAUAAAGUUGUUCUCAGUUCGGAUUGUAGUCUGCAACUCGACUACAUGAAGCUGGAAUCGCUAGUAAUCGUAGAUCAGCAUGCUACGGUGAAUACGUUCCCGGGUCU